UCUCCCUCUGUUGUCCAAGGCUGGAGGGUAGUACUGCUAUCGCAGCUGAUUGCAGCCUCAACCUUCCAGGCUGAAGCGAUCCUCCCAUCUCAACCUCCCACGUGGCUGAGACUACAGGUGCUUGCCACUAUGCCCAACUAAUAUUUGGAAUUUUCGUAUACGUGGAUUCCAGAGAGGUGACAGCGAAACGUGGGAACAUCCAGUUUCAGGAAAACAAGCUUAACACGCCCACUGAUUCUACAUUAUGCUCCUACCUCCCGGCAGCCUCGCCAGGCCCAGAACUCUCUCCAGUCAGCCUCUACAGACCAAGCUCAUGACUCACAAUGGCCUAUUGAGGCCCAUACCCUACCUCACGGCAGUCUCCGCAGAUGAGCCUACUGCCUCACAACAGCCUCCACAGGCACAGCUCCAUCGUUACAAUGGCCUCUUUAGACCCAGCUCCUGCCUCCCAGCCUUCUCUCCAGGCCCUGAACUUUCUCCGUGGGACCAUCCAGUUUCAGGAAAACAAGCUUAACACGCCCACUGAUUCUACAUUAUGCUCCUACCUCCCGGCAGCCUCGCCAGGCCCAGAACUCUCUCCAGUCAGCCUCUACAGACCAAGCUCAUGACUCACAAUGGCCUAUUUAGGCCCAUACCCUACCUCACGGCAGUCUCCGCAGAUGAGCCUACUGCCUCACAACAGCCCCACAGGCACAGCUCCAUCGUUCCAAUGGCCUCUUUAGACCCAGCUCCUGCCGCCCAGCCUUGUCUCCAGGCCCUGAACUUUCUCCGUAAGUUGAGGUAGCUGGGACUGUAGGUAUACAUGAUGAUACUUGGCUAAUUUUUAAAUUGUUUUGUAGACAUGGGGUCUCACUUUGUUGGCCAGGCUGCUGUCAAACUAAUGGCCUCAAGUGACCCUUCCACCCCUGCCUCCCAUCCUCGAGGUAUGUGCCACCACAAGGAGCACUUGUUCAAUUUUCUAAAGAAAAAAUUUCUAAAGUAAGGCUGUGGGAUGAUGGCAGGAAGAUAAAAGAAAAACAGAAGAAUAAGUUAAAAUGACUUAUUCACACAUAUUCUUUUGACAGCAAGAAGAACUGUUAGUAUAUACAUUGCUUACAAACAAACAAACGGCAGAUAAACAAUGUUGUAUAGGAACUUCAACACACACUGUACAAUAUUCCCACUUUGCUGACAUAAGUUAUGGAAAUUUCGUGGUUUACUUGAG